rnacentral:rRNA from 1 species
AAGGAGUGUGUAACAACUCACCUGCCGAAUGAAUUAGCCCUGAAAAUGGAUGGCGCUAAAGCGGGUAGCCGACACCGCGCCGUUCCGGCGAGACGAGGCCGGGAUGAGUAGGAGGGCGUGGCGGUCAGUGAAGCAGGCUAGGGUGCAGACCCAGCUGAAACGGCCGCUAGUGCAGAUCUUGGUGGUAGUAGCAAAUAUUCAAGCGAGAUCCUUGAAGGGCGAAGCGGGGAAGGGUUCCACGCAAACAUUGAUUGGGCGUGGGUGAGUCGUUCCUAAGCCGAGUGGCAAUUGCUAAGUAGCGGCGAAAGGGAAGCGGGUUAAAAUUCCCGCACACGGAUAUGGAGGCGGCGACGCAAGCAGAGGCGAAUACGCUGGCCGAGGCGCUGGGCAGAGUUGUCUUUUCUGUUUGACCGGCAUCGCGCUGUGUGGAAUCCGCUUAUCGGGAGAAACACGCGCGGGUAUGGGCAGAGCGUCAAGUUUUUUUUGGCGUCCAGCUCGCCUCGGACGGCCCCUGAAAAUUCGCCCGCGAACUUUAAAAAUUUCAUGCUGUGACGUACCGAUAUCCGCAUCAGGUCCCCAAGGUGAACAGCCUCUGCUCAAUAUGAACAAUGCAGGUAA